rnacentral:rRNA from 1 species
GGAUUAGGCAUGCAAGUCGAACGAGGAUAUAUCCUUCGGGAUAUAAGCCGAGUGGCGCAAGGGUGAGUAAUGCAUAGAUUACCUACCUCUAGGAUAAGGACAACUUUGUGAAAACGAAGCUAAUACUUAAUAACACAAGAGAAAAUAAUUUUCUUUUGUCAAUGGGAGGGUAGCAAUACCUUUUGCCUAGAGAGGGGUUUAUGUCCUAUCAGCUUGUUGGUGGGGUAAUGGCCUACCAAGGCGAAGACGGGUAGCCGGUCUUAGAGGAUGGUCGGCCACACUGGGACUGAGACACUGCCCAGACUUCUACGGAAGGCUGCAGUCGAGAAUCUUUCGCAAUGCCCGAAAGGGUGACGAAGCGACGCCGCGUGAGUGAGGAAGGCCUUCGGGUUGUAAAGCUCUGUCAGGAGUUAAGAAAUGUAAGUGUGCUAAUACCACAUUUACUUGACGAAGGCUCCAAAGGAAGCCACGGCUAACUCUGUGCCAGCAGCCGCGGUAAUACAGAGGUGGCAAGCGUUGUUCGGAAUUAUUGGGCGUAAAGAGCACGUAGGUGGGUUUGUAAGUCAGAUGUGAAAGCCUUCUGUUCAACGGAAGAAUUGCAUCUGAAACUGCAAGUCUUGAGUGUAGGAGGGGGGAAUGGAACUUCUGGUGGAGCGGUGAAAUGCGUAGAUAUCAGAAGGAACGCCGGCGGCGAAAGCGAUUCUCUGGCCUAUCACUGACACUCAGUGUGCGAAAGCUAGGGGAGCAAACGGGAUUAGAUACCCCGGUAGUCCUAGCCGUAAACGAUGGGCACUAAGUAGAGGGAAUUACCGAUGUUCUCUCUGCCGUAGCUAACGCAUUAAGUGCCCCGCCUGGGGAGUACGGCCGCAAGGCUAAAACUCAAAAGAAUUGACGGGGGCUCGCACAAGCGGUGGAGCAUGUGGCUUAAUUAGAUGCAACGCGAAAAACCUUACCGGGGCUUGACAUGGUAGAAGUAGGAACCCGAAAGGGUAACGAACGGUAUCCAGUCCGUAGCUAUCACAGGUGUUGCAUGGCUGUCGUCAGCUCGUGUCGUGAGACGUUGGGUUAAGUCCCCUAACGAGCGAAACCCUUGUUUUUAGUUACCAGCGGGUUAUGCCGGGUACUCUAGAAAGACUGCCGUCGUCAAGACGGAGGAAGGUGGGGAUGACGUCAAGUCAUCAUGGCCCUUAUGCCCCGGGCUGCACACGCGCUACAAUGGUCGGUACAAACGGAAGCGAAGCCGAGAGGUGGAGCGAAUCCUAAAAAGCUGAUCUCAGUUCGGAUUGGAGGCUGAAAUUCGCCUCUAUGAAGUUGGAAUCGCUAGUAAUCGCGGAUCAGCAUUGCCCCGGUGAAUAUGUUCCCGAGCCUUGUACACACCGCCCGU